GGGCCCAUAGCUCAGUUGGUAGAGCGCCUGCCUUACAAGCAGGAUGUCAUCGGUUCAAAUCCGGUUGGACCCA
rnacentral:tRNA from 1 species